GAUGAACGCUGGCGGCGUGCCUAAUACAUGCAAGUCGAGCGAACGGACGAGAAGCUUGCUUCUCUGAUGUUAGCGGCGGACGGGUGAGUAACACGUGGAUAACCUACCUAUAAGACUGGGAUAAAUUCGGGAAACCGGAGCUAAUACCGGAUGAUAUUUUGAACCGCAUGGUUCAAAAGCGAAAGACGGUCUUGCUGUCACUUAUAGAUGGAUCCGCGCUGCAUUAGCUAGUUGGUAAGGUAACGGCUUACCAAGGCAACGAUGCAUAGCCGACCUGAGAGGGUGAUCGGCCACACUGGAACUGAGACACGGUCCAGACUCCUACGGGAGGCAGCAGUAGGGAAUCUUCCGCAAUGGGCGAAAGCCUGACGGAGCAACGCCGCGUGAGUGAUGAAGGUCUUCGGAUCGUAAAACUCUGUUAUUAGGGAAGAACAUAUGUGUAAGUAACUGUGCACAUCUUGACGGUACCUAAUCAGAAAGCCACGGCUAACUACGUG
rnacentral:rRNA from 1 species